rnacentral:rRNA from 1 species
AUGCAAGUCGAGCGGGGGAAGGUAGCUUGCUACUGGACCUAGCGGCGGACGGGUGAGUAAUGCUUAGGAAUCUGCCUAUUAGUGGGGGACAACAUCUCGAAAGGGAUGCUAAUACCGCAUACGUCCUACGGGAGAAAGCAGGGGAUCUUCGGACCUUGCGCUAAUAGAUGAGCCUAAGUCGGAUUAGCUAGUUGGUGGGGUAAAGGCCUACCAAGGCGACGAUCUGUAGCGGGUCUGAGAGGAUGAUCCGCCACACUGGGACUGAGACACGGCCCAGACUCCUACGGGAGGCAGCAGUGGGGAAUAUUGGACAAUGGGGGGAACCCUGAUCCAGCCAUGCCGCGUGUGUGAAGAAGGCCUUAUGGUUGUAAAGCACUUUAAGCGAGGAGGAGGCUACUUUAGUUAAUACCUAGAGAUAGUGGACGUUACUCGCAGAAUAAGCACCGGCUAACUCUGUGCCAGCAGCCGCGGUAAUACAGAGGGUGCGAGCGUUAAUCGGAUUUACUGGGCGUAAAGCGUGCGUAGGCGGCUUAUUAAGUCGGAUGUGAAAUCCCCGAGCUUAACUUGGGAAUUGCAUUCGAUACUGGUGAGCUAGAGUAUGGGAGAGGAUGGUAGAAUUCCAGGUGUAGCGGUGAAAUGCGUAGAGAUCUGGAGAAUACCGAUGGCG